rnacentral:lncRNA from 1 species
GUUUUACUUCUAGUUGAUUGUGGUUAGAUUUUAUUGUCAUUGCAGAGUUUAUUAUUGGGCAUUCCUGCUUGGGUUCAUUGUGACUCUUUAGUCAUUUCUGUUUACUUCUUGUUAUUUUAUAAUCCAGAUAAUGUUAGUGUUAAGAGUUAUUUAAAGGUAUAUCCUUGUCUUUUUAUGUAUUUAAGACCAGCCUCCUCUAGUGUUUCCUCGUAUGCCAUUGUCAUAUCUAUUUAGUGGUUUGUUUACUUUCUGUUUUAUCUGAAAGUCCCUUGUGUGUGCUUACAUAGUCCUGCCCUGCCUGUCAGUCAUUGUUUCAGUAUCUGUUUGUGUGCUCUUGUGUUCUCCUCGUGAUCCUUUUUGGAAGUUUUCUUAUUUUUUAUUCUCAUUUCUACUAUUCGCUGCCCGGUGUUGUCGAUUACUCCUCGACCUUAAUAAAAGGAGAUAUCAAUUCUUCUAGUUGCACUUACAGCCCCGAUGGGAAAGAGGGAGCGUGAAGACACCCAGAUGUCCAAGAAGAUGCCAACUUCCCCAUUUGACUACAGCAGUUCAGAUGAUGCUUCCAAUCAGGUUCCAUCAAAUAGCCAGGACUAUUUCAACAACAGACCUUCAGAGACAACAAGUAACCCUUACAGGCUGUACCCCAACAGACCUCAACAGACAACAAGUAACCCUUACAGGCUGUACCCCAACAGACCUCAACAGACAACAAGUAACCCUUACAGGCUGUACCCCAACAGACCUCCACAGACAACAAGUAACGAGUACAGCCAGUUCAACAAUCAGCAGGUCCAGAGCAGCAGUGCCUCCACAGAUGAUCCGAAUCAUGUCCGGCUCAUAAACCACCUUCAGUUCAACAGCAGACCCCAACAAACAACAAGUAAACCAGUGGUUGGAGAGAGGUGGAAAACUGGAAGAAUCUGGAACUGGUUCUACAAAUAUUCACACAAAAGAUCAAACUCUGUAGUAGAUUUUUGUACUUGGGGAUUUCCUUGUUCGGCCAAGAAGAAGACUGCCAUGUUUGUGGUCUGCAACGGGAUUACAUUCAAGACAUCACUCAUGAUUUUGUCUAUUCUUUUUGGACAUGAAUGGACCUCCCUUACUAAAUGCACAUGAUGCACUUUGAGUAAUAUGAUAUAGGGGCUUCUCUGUGUUAUUUAUCUAUGACCUGAGUAAUGCAGUAAUAUUCCCUGAUCAGUUUAAAGUACAAUAAAAUGGUCUCACGUUUAAGCUCUCUGUUUGAUUUGGUUUUACUUUGCACAUGAUACAAAACACACAGAAAGUAAAUGAACACAAAACAAACGUGUGCCGAAUCAACUAAAUGACACAAUCUGAAAGAAAAAAAAGAUAAAAAACCUAUAAAGCAAAAUUAAACACUGACCAGUUUUAACGCUUUUUAUUUUCUGUACAUACAACAUUUUACAAAAGCACGAAAUCCAGAUUUUUAAUCACGACAUAAAAACAUAAAGAGGAUAAAAAAUGACAUGCAUCAUCUGUACGUUGCUGUAUUUGACACUCUUCUCCAUGCAGUUAAUUAAAACGUUAAAAUAAAUACACUAUUUUCUAUUUUAUCAGCAUUAACAAAAUGAAUCAAUUAACAGUAAAUUUGCACAAUGGAGUUGAGCAGUCAAUUAAUGUUUGACUUUCUGUCACACUUCAUCGAGGUAAUGGCCAUUGAUUGGUGGAGAAACAUCAGCGCUGCCAUGAAUUAUAAAAACAAUCUAAUACAUAACAGAAGAACAGAACAGGGAUGUAAAAUGCAUAAGAAUUUACUUUUCUCUUUGCUUUUUCUGAGUAAUAAAAAUAUAUCUCUACCAUUUACUGUUUAGGAAGCAUCUAAAUAAGAAGAGAAGCAGUUACCAAGAUAACAGGAUUUGAUCUUUAUCUAAUGCAGAUCACGUGACUUUUUUAAGACUACAGAGGAAAAUUAAAGAGAAGCGAGUCUAGUAUCGUUUAGUGCUUUUUAAAGCAUGUUUCAGUUUCUUAUGUAAAUAUGUAGUUUCAUUGAUUGAUCACAUCCUCUGUUUAUCAGCAG